UACGGAGGGUGCAAGCGUUGUCCGGAAUCACUGGGCGUAAAGGGCGCGUAGGCGGCUCAUGAAGGCUGUGGUGAAAGUCCGGGGCUCAACCUCGGAUCGGCCGUGGCGACUCGUGGGCUGGAGCACUGUAGAGGCGGGUGGAAUUCCGGGUGUAGCGGUGGAAUGCGUAGAGAUCCGGAAGAACACCAGUGGCGAAGGCGGCCCGCUGGGCAGUGGCUGACGCUGAGUGAGCGAAAGCCAGGGGAGCAACGGG
rnacentral:rRNA from 1 species